rnacentral:rRNA from 1 species
UAGGGAAUCUUCGGCAAUGGGGGGAACCCUGACCGAGCAACGCCGCGUGAGUGAAGAAGGUUUUCGGAUCGUAAAGCUCUGUUGUUAAGGAAGAACGAGUGUGAGAAUGGAAAGUUCAUACUGUGACGGUACUUAACCAGAAAGGGACGGCUAACUACGUGCCAGCAGCCGCGGUAAUACGUAGGUCCCGAGCGUUGUCCGGAUUUAUUGGGCGUAAAGCGAGCGCAGGCGGUUAGAUAAGUCUGAAGUUAAAGGCAGUGGCUCAACCAUUGUAGGCUUUGGAAACUGUUUAACUUGAGUGCAGAAGGGGAGAGUGGAAUUCCAUGUGUAGCGGUGAAAUGCGUGGAUAUAUGGAGGAACACCGGUGGCGGAAGCGGCUCUAUGGUCUGUAACUGACGCCGAGGCUCGAAAGCGUGGGGAGCGAACAGG